rnacentral:rRNA from 1 species
AUUGAACGCUGGCGGCAGGCCUAACACAUGCAAGUCGAGCGGAUGAAGGGAGCUUGCUCCUGGAUGCAGCGGCGGACGGGUGAGUAAUGCCUAGGAAUCUGCCUGGCAGUGGGGGCUAACGUCCGGAAACGGGCGCUAAUACAGCAUACGUCCUGAGGGAGAAAGUGGGGGAUCUUCGGACCUCACGCUAUCAGAUGAGCCUAGGUCGGAUUAGCUAGUUGGUGGGGUAAAGGCCUACCAAGGCGACGAUCCGUAACUGGUCUGAGAGGAUGAUCAGUCACACUGGAACUGAGACACGGUCCAGACUCCUACGGGAGGCAGCAGUGGGGAAUAUUGGACAAUGGGCGAAAGCCUGAUCCAGCCAUGCCGCGUGUGUGAAGAAGGUCUUCGGAUUGUAAAGCACUUUAAGUUGGGAGGAAGGGCAGUAAGUUAAUACCUUGCUGUUUUGACGUUACCAACAGAAUAAGCACCGGCUAACUUCGUG